UACGUAGGGGGCGAGCGUUGUCCGGAAUUAUUGGGCGUAAAGAGCGUGUAGGCGGUUCGGUAAGUCUGCCGUGAAAACCUGGGGCUCAACCCUGGGCGUGCGGUGGAUACUGCCGGGCUAGAGGGUGGUAGAGGCGAGUGGAAUUCCCGGUGUAGCGGUGAAAUGCGCAGAUAUCGGGAGGAACACCAGUAGCGAAGGCGGCUCGCUGGGCCAUUCCUGACGCUGAGACGCGAAAGCUAGGGGGGGCGAACAGG
rnacentral:rRNA from 1 species